rnacentral:lncRNA from 1 species
CUUUCUGGAGGUUCCCAAACAGAACAACUUGUAUCAAAAAAUCCUUCAUGUCACUUUUCCUGUUUAUUAAACGUUUUAUUAAAAGGAGUGGUGAAUAAAAUAACCACCUCAAUUUUCUAAUGGUAGAACAUUCGCUUCUAAUUUUCUUCAAAAUUCGGGACAAUUAUUGUAUCAGCUCUUAACAUGUUUGCAAAACCUGCAACAAUAAAACAUAACCCUAAGCCUUAGUCCCAAAUCCUGACGUUGGUGAGGGUUGUAUUUUCCCGUUUGUUCUUGUCCAUUAAAAUAUUAUAUAAUCAUGUGAAUUAGGAGGUACCCAAACAAAAUGGCUUGUAUUAAAAAGUGAUUUUUUCGUUAUAUUUUGGUCAUGUCAAUUUUCUUGUUGUAUUUCGUGAAGCUUGAAAACGCUUCAUUAAAUGAGAUUAUGAGAUAAGUAAUCAUCCCGAUAGCAUAACGUUAUCGCCUCCGCGUCAUGAAUUUCAGUCCUCGGUCCCGUUAAACCAUAGACGUGACCAAUGUACAAGCACAUCCCUUGUUUGGAGAUCAGCAUUAAAAAGGAAACUGUUUUGUGGGCCUUAUAAAAGGUUUCUCUAUGUAUCUUUUUUCUGCUGAGAAUUUGAGUAUAUGCGUGUAUGGGUAUUUAGUCAGCUUGGUAUUUAGAAUAAUUGUACAAGAACAUAUAUCUUGAACGCGAAGGUCGUUCAACUAACUGGGAUCAUAACUCUUAUUCUUCUAGCGGAUGUGACGAUCGAGUUAUAGUGCGCGCCAUAGACUGAUUUAAACUCUCUAGUGACGUUUUAUGAACUGACCUUUCCGAUAUGGUGUUCCACUGUGUUUCCUUUCUUUUAAUUUGUCCAAGUUGUCUAAAAGUUUUACCUUAUUUGUAUGUUCGUUGGUUGAGUGUACGUGCAUGUAUGUAUUGCUUUGAGUUGCAGUUGUGUGGGGCUGAUCUCUUGUAAUCUGACAAUCUCGCAAAAUCUGCAACUAUAAACAUACACAUUAAGCCAUAACAAUAACCUUAACCCUACAGCUAGAAACCUUAACCUUGGGUUUCAAUAGCACAAUUGUAAGAAUGCAACGAAGUAAAAUAAUUGCAGGCUGGGUUUGACUGCGUCUGUUAAUGAAAUAUGUAACACCAAACAUGCCCGUAGUACCUGUCUUAGCUGAAUUCUAUUACAUAGGUAGGGAAUGAAAGAACCAGAAAUUAAAAAACACUGGUUUUAUUUAGCAUUAAUAUUUAGAAAAAUGAAUGUAGACAUGUUGCAACAUUUGUAUUGAUUCCAAGAUGAUUCAUUAACAUACAGCGGCAGUAAUUAAUGAUUAAUUGUAAGUAUGAGAGCGUCAUUGGACGUACAGUGUGUAAAUCAGUUUUUCUAUAUACUAGAUAUUUAGUUUGUACGCAGGAAUGAGAUAAGAACUAUAGGUAUGCAAGCUCACAUCAUAACAUCGGAUAAACAAUAUAAGGAUACAAGCGGCGUUUAGCAAAGUCUGUUUAAAAUAUUUUUAAAAAAUGUAUUUUUAUAUGUGUCGUGAUUUCACAGUUAUGGAUAUACUUGCAGAAUGUGAUAUUUAUUAUCUGUUUAAUAUUUAAUGAUGGAACUGAUGUUUGGAUAGCCUCGCUUCAAAACUGGACUAAAUAAAGACUUAAAUGUUAAGACAACGAUGAUGGUGAAUAGGGGGCGAUGAUAAUGUUAAUCACGAUGCUGGUGAAGAUGAUGAUGAUGCCGAUUUGAUGACAAUGACAAAUGUUAGUGAUGCUGCUGAUGAUGAUGAUAAUUGUGAUGACGCAAUAAUAAUUAUGAUGAAGAAAAUGAAGAAAAUAAAGGUGCUAAAGCUUCAAGUAAUGAUAAUAAUGAUUGUGAUAGUCUUGAAGGUGAGUAGCACUCUUAAACAAUGUUUAAUAGUACAUACCCCAAAUAGUUUCAACAGUGCAACAUAUUUAUAAACAUAAAAAUAAAAACAUAUCCAUGUUUUAAAACAGUGAAAAUGAUAAAAUGACAUGAUAAAACAAACAGUUCACUAUCUAAGAUAUACACAUGCAUUAACUAAGACGUUUCCAGUUUUGCAUACGUAUAUCAAGUGAUGAUGGUGACGGCGAUGAUAUAGGAAAUGGUGAUGAAAGUAAAGACGAUCAUUGUGUUUAUGGUAAUGGUUGUUGAGAUGACGAUAAUGUUGUUGAUAAUAUAAUGAUUGUCAUGAUGAUAUGAAUGGUAAUUUGGCGUUGAUUAUGACUUUGCUGGUGGUAAUUUUGACAAUGGUUAUGAUGGUUAUGGUUGUGCUACUGCUGUUGGUGGUGGUGAUUGUGACGGUAAUGUUACUGAUGAUGUAAAUGUUGGUAAUGAUAAUGACGGUAAGUAAAUAAGUACGUUUUUACGUAAGCAACGACUUGAUUUUAAAUAGAUGACAUACAUGGAGAUCAAGUUAGGUCUACUAUCAACAUACAUAAAUGCAUACAUAUACAAAAUGCUGUAUAUACAAUAUUUACAGGGGUUUGACACAUUAAACUAUAUAAAAAACAUGAAAUUAAAGAAGAAACAGUUCAUAUUUUAAGUAUUUACAUGUAAUAACUAAGGUGUUCUCAUUUAGAACAAGCUUAACUAAUUAUUUGGCCUAGAGUACCGUUUUAGUUAAGACAUCACUAUGACUUAAUUUAGACACUAACUAUUUUAUUCAAGUCAGGAACCAUAAAUGCUAUGUCGACGGUCAGAUUGUUGGUGAUAUUGAUGAUCAUGGUUAAUAUGAUGGCGAUGUUGACGAUGAUGACGAUAAUGAUAGCAAAGGUGGUGUUGAUGUAAUAAUGGUAAUGAUCAUAUUCUCUUCGAGAUAGUGAUGACGAUAAUGAUGGUGAUCGUGGCGAAAUUGGAUAUGGUGAUGGUUGAAAUGGUGAUAGUAGAAAUGAUGAUGCUCUGGAAGAACCAUCUGAAUAAACUUGAUGGAGAACCAUUCACCAGAAGUCGUUGUUUAAAGAGGAUGUAGACUAUCGAGCAGUGCUUAAUUAGAAAAUACAAAAUGCAUAAGAUAUAAAUUAUGUUAUGAUCUUACUUGAAGAUUUCAUUUGCCGCAAUGCUGAACUAUAAACAACCACUUCUUUUUGCACAAUGUUGAAUUAUACACAACUUCCAGUACAUGUACAGGUUCAGAAUCAAAUACAGUCAGCAAAAUAUCACCAUUAUGAUGACCUGAGCUGUGACCCCAUAACUCUACAGGAUCUAGGCCUACAGGAGCCAUGAAUUUUAAUGCAACUGUAAUAUAUGGUAAUAAUGGUAAUUGCUUCACAAGUAAGCAGGAACCGAAGCUAUAGUAGUUUCUACUAGGGAAAUUGGGGGAAAAAGAACAUAGGUAUGUAGGCCUAGUGGAUCGUAAAUGGACUCCUAUCACUGACGAAGUAACCAAAGUCAUAGAGUAAGUAUAACCCUUAGGCUAGGUAGUGGGUUACAAAUGGACACACUUGUAACAGGGGUGCACAUUUUGGGCAACAUUUGGGCAGCAUGAAGCAUAAUAACAUUUACCAAUGAAGUAUAAAAUACAUCUAUUUAUUUUUAUAUCUCUUUGCAUUUACAGAUGUUAAUAACAUGCGGAAGACUUAAAUUAUCUUACCACCUAUUGUCACAGUGGGCAAACAGCAUGAACAAUUAGCU